UUUAUUUUCAGCGUGCCUUAGCAAGGAUUUCAGGAGGAUCUGCUCCAUGAUCUUGCCAGGCACAGAGGUGAGACUGACCAGCCUGUAGUUCCCAGGGUCUUCUUUGUUUCCUUUUUUGAAUAUGGGAGUUAUGUUCCCUGUUCUUCUCCCACAGUAACAAAACAUGCUUACAACAUGUCCAUAUGGGCUGCAUUUGGCAAAGAUUAUAGUUGCCAACAUAGUUGAUCUUCACCCGAAUAGAACUUUUUUGUUGCUGUAUUUGCUGUGUUCAGAUAUUUGGUAUUGUUCUCCAUUAAAGUAAUAAGCUACUUCUGUAGCAAGCUAACUAAAUGAAGUGCUGGUAAUUAAAACUUCACUGCCUACGAGAAAAUCUAUCGAAGUACGUGUACAUCUGGUCUUGGUAAAACUUCAGUCAUGUCAGAAAAGACCUGUGAAUCUUCUCACCUCAGUGCCUUGGAAUAAAUACUGUAGCAGGGAAAUAGUUAAAUUAAUAAAGAUGAGGGGAGUUUUGUUUUUUUGUUUUUCACAGAGCUUGGGAAAGUUAAGACAGUUUCAAUAUUGACCUAUCUAGAAUUUGGAAUUGGCUAUGCUGCUCUUGAGAUCCAAAGUCAGGGUAAGCCUUUGCGUCCAUCACUGAGGGUUGAGGUGGGUUUUGACCCUCCUCCUCCUCAACGGAGUUGCCUUCAAGAAGUUGUGUGUCGGUGCAGAGUCGAUGCUGGUGUUGGUGAGUGACACGUGGUAGUGGUGGGGAGAAGGUGACAUGACUCUGAGCUGACCUCACUGGAGAAAUACUCGUGGUCUGAAAGUACUCCCCUAAUUCUCUGUAUUUUGAUAAAUCUUUCUGUAAGCGUGUGCUCUGAUGUCAGUCACCAGCACUUUGGAGGGGAGGAAAAGCCUGUUAAUUAGACAGUGUGAGGAAAAAUUGCCAUCCUGUUGGCUCUCAGGAAAAAAAAAUCUGGCUUCCACAGUUGGUCAUUUACCAAACACUAGAUUGAGCGCGUCAAGAAUUCCUGAGCUGCCUCGUGUUGCUGUGUUGCUGUCUCCUCUACUGACUGUGUGCCCUGUAGGUGGGAGUUCUGACCAAAGCUGAGGAGCUCAAGUUUGCUGGUGCUAAAAGUCUUAACUUCUCAUGGUGCUGACAAAGUUCUGAACCUUGUCUUUAAAAGGAGGGAAGAAAAAAGGUUUUGGUCACCCCACAAGUUAAGUACACCCUGUGAAACUGAAGAAAGGAGUAAGCCAUACGUAAGCAUAUGUAAAUUAUUUCCCCAAGUUACUGAAACAACCCAAAGACUUGAGAGACCAGAACCUGAAAGAUACUGAAGAGUGUUGGAGCUAUUCGGCCUCAUCACAGCAAUCCCACGGGGACCAUCGAUGGGGAAAGGGCAUAUGCUGAAUAUAUACAAGGCUCAUGAAAGACUGCUGUAUGUAAUAUAAAUAUAUUGAUUUGGGAGGAUACUCUGCCUGCGAUUAAAAGUUCCUACCACUUUGUUCCUCGUAUCCAGAUGAGUAAAAUUUAUUUUGCAGAUAGAGCCUAGUAGUUGAAGGAUUGUGUUCACUGGAGUGUUGUCACUACUGAAACAUGAACUUCCUGGUUAAAGGCAAAUGCAGUCACUUGUUGACUUAUUUAGUGUAUUCUCUGUGUUUAGAGGACAGGUCAGCACAUACUGCUCAAAAAAGGAAAAGAUCCAUGCUUUAAAACUGUCUUUUUCAAAGCUCUUGGAUGGUUUUGUACUGAGUAGCCUCAUCCUAUCAGCUGAGCUCUUUCGGGGUGUCCUCUCUUGGAGCGUUCCUCGUAGUUAAACCCUUCUCAGCCCAGAGCUUUGAACGUGUGGGGCUGUGCCCAGAGGCACCGUCCACCAGUUCUCCACCCAUUUCCAACCCCUGUUAGUUACAGGGUUUUUCCCAAGAUGCUGAAAGACUACUGUUCUCCUCUCCUUAUUUUGAGGGCGUUGGGGGUAAGGGGCAGAAGAAAUAUUUGUGAUUUGAGACCUUCUUCCUGCCACAGUUCCUUUCUCAACCCUAGUGAUAGGAACAAAAUUGUCCUGUGUCUGUAAGUUUAUACCCAAGACCCACUAAGUGCAUUAAUACUUUCUUUUCUUUUGAAGCUUUGCGUUAUGAACUGAAUGUUUGCUUUGAGCCUUAUCUGCUGGAUCUGCCUGGGGAGGAGAUGGGGUUUGGUGGCAGGUUCAGGAGUUUAAAUGAUUCAGGGUAAUAAUUGUACGAGAGCACAAGUCGAUGGGAAGUAGAAAGCUACUGCAUGUACGAUGCUGCAUUGGCCACAGUGAUACGAAUGCUUUAGUCACUGCUGCUAUUCUACUCUUGUAUUUUAAUAUUGCCAAGUAGAACUCUGAGUGAUGCUAAAUUACUGUAAUGCCAGAGUUUUACAUGAAAGACUUUCAGAGCUGAUCUGCUAAGUAUCAGUUAAAUCUUUCUUGUUGUGAAAAAUUAUAGAUGCUAACACCUACAUGUUCCAUUUUCCACUUUUUUCCCCCCCACCUCCCAAGCUGCUCUUCAUUUUAGCUGCAGUCCAGAGCUUUCUCAUACCAAAAAGAUCAUCAUCUUUGGCUAAUGGAAGGACUUACGAGUCUACAUUGUUCCCCUCUAAUUGUACAGUCUUCACAACUAGUGUCUUAGUCCAGCUGUUCUAAGGUUACCACCAAGAGAUUCAGUUUCUAUGUGAAAAUGUAUUUUCACUGAAAAAGCCUCCUUUCCUUUCCCCUUCCUGAUCUUUUCUUUUGAGGAAUUGUUUUACCUUGGUGGAAUUGAGGUGGAAUUGAGCUAGAACUGCUUAAAUAGGAGAGAAAGGUAUGCGGUGUUGAGAGUUCUCUCUAAAACAAAUAUGAAGAAACAUGGGGAUUUAACCAGUUCCCUGUGUAAUUUCUUGAGGAAUGGGGUUCUUUAGUUCUGUAACUCUGGGUGCUUUGCAGCAUUCCUGGGUCUCAAGGUGGUUUAGAAAGUGGCUUAUCUGCUUCUGUCUUCCAAAUUUCUGUUGUCUUGAACGUGUGUUAAGCCAGCCCCUCCUGCUGUGUGUGUUUGCAAAGCUGCUAUGGCACAAAUCUUCCAAUUAUAGUAUAUUACAAAUGUGUUUCUUUUUUGCCUCUGAAUGUCUUCCCCUGCAGGGCAGGGAAAAUUAUUUUACUAAAAAUGUUGGUAUGUAAUGUAUAUGUGGGAGCUCAGAUAAUGUGAGAUGUAAAGACUCGGUUUUUAAGUGUCUUCUGAUCUGCCUGGUCACGUUUGCUGUCAGGGGAUUGAACUUGCUGAUGAAAUAAAAUGGGGGUAGCCUUACUUUAAAAAUGCUUUCACAUCAGAUAUAUUGAUGCUGGAUGCGAAGGAGUAGUCUGGGGCCAGUGUUAAAGGUUUGUACUGGUUUGUCUGAACAGAAUGAGAGUACUCCUUGCCCUUGGAAGUAUAGAUUGUUUAAUAUAUUUUGUAAUUAAUGCAUAGCUAUAUUUCUGACAGGAUUUUGAAAAAUAAACUAAUUAAACUGUGCACCGUA